UUUAUUUAAGGGAAAAGAUCUCAUUCACAAUAACAAUAAAAACUAUAGUUUGCACAAUCAAUUGUAGCCGUAGAGAAAGAAGGAAAGAGUAGAAUUUUAAAACCUAACAAUAUUGCCAAGUGCCCAUUCAGUGUUUUAAAACUCAGUCAAAUUCCUAUACGUCAGCAAUAGAAGGAGCUCUACCCAGCAGUCUGAGAGAAGUCCUGACUGAUGUAACACGAGAUUCAAUAUUAAAAUCGGAGUCCUUGUAUUUUCUAUGUAGGCAAUAGAUUAGAGCUUCAAAAAAAGAAAUACAGAAAGAGACAAGAAAGUUCCUUGGAGUUUCCCCCUUCCAUGUAAAGCAUAAUUUUUGCCUUAGUUUUUUUGGAAGAUAGAUUUUUAUCAGCUUAAGGCAAUUCCCUUCUAUCCAUAAGUCACUUAGAUUUUUUCUAUAACUAAAUUUACAUAACAUGUUUGAGUUACUUUUUUCUUUAAAAAUCCUAAUGUGUAUUAUUACUUGAAUACAUUUUUCUUAUGUUAAAUCCUCCAGUAUUCCUGGAGUAAAUCUGAUCUAUUUAUAUGUGUGCACUGCUGUGUUUACAGAUCUCAUGGUAGAAUCUUUACGUAAGCGGUAACAAUUCCCUCUUCAGUACUGUCCUUAUGCCACUUUUACUAUCAGCAAAUGGGUUGGGUCACUUUCUCUAUUUCUCUAUUUGAUGCAAAUUGUUUCAGAGACUAGAGAGCAGUUUGUUCUGAAAAUGUUACACCGUCUCACCAGUAAAAACACCUUGGACAAGCAUCUUUGGCAGAGAAGGAGAAACGUGGGUGGGCAGGAGAAGGUUGGACAGACUCAACACUGACUUGGCUUCUAUGAUGAUUAUACACUUUCUCGGGUUUCCCAUUUCUAAGUCAUUGUGCCACUCCUUUCUGUUUAAUGCUGCAUCCCAAGAAAAAUAUAAACAGUCGUCUCGUCUUUGUGAUGUUUACAUGCAACUAGGAUGGUGCAUCUUGUUUUAUGGGACACACAAAUCCACGUGCCACUGUGUGCAGAAACUGCAUCCCCUGUUUACUGAAUGAACAGAGGUUGUAAAGUCAAUCACUUGAGAAGGUGUGCAUUAAAUUGUUCUAAAAAUAAGAUUUCUUUCAGGUCUUGAAUGGAGCCAUAAAACCUCGAAAAGCAAGGUUUUCCUCAUCCCAACCAUGUUUGAAGACAUGCCUUAAUACGAGCCAAGAACAGAGCUAGAAAGUAAAUGGCGCUGGUCAGAGAAUAAACCUUCACCGAGUUGUAGAGGACGGUCACCGUGCCGCUACUGUUAAAGCUUUCACGUCUUCAGGUGUUUCUCUGGGUCCCGGGGCCUAACAUUAUCUGGGCUCCACCCACGGGCAGCACUGACUCGCCUCAUCUAGACUGCAUCAGGCACAUGCGCACCUUCGGGGGACCGAGGGUCCCAGACAGAAAGCCCACCGUACGAAGCGUUGUCUGAUAGCAACACCAAGCCCCUCCUAGUCGGCAUCAUCUGAUAACAAACUCGAAUUUGUAGUGGUUUAAAUUCAGCACAGAUCUCUGACUCCUCGUGUGAAGUCCCCUGCAGGCUGGACAGCAUUCCUGCUAACCUUACCUUGGGGGCCGCGUGUUUCAGAGGGCAGAGUACAAAGCAGAGGAGAGAGGGGUGAAGGAGGAGAGAGGGCUGGCUCUGAAUUGCUUCAGCUAGGAGGUGGCACAUGCCAUGUCCUCAGUAGACCAUUGGCUGAAAUUAGUUCAACAGCUUCAACUGACUGCAAGGGAGAUCAGGAAAUGUAGGGGAGCACAUGGAAUACUUGGUAAGGAGCAACUUGCCACAAUAACUGUGUGACUUUCAGCAAGUAACUCAACCUCUCUGUGCCUCAGUGCCUAUAGUAUUAGCCCCGAUUUUACAGCCAAAACUGACAUAUUGUUAAUCUUGCAAGAUUAUUAUGAGAAUUCAGGCACCCAGCGUGGUGUCUCAGCUAUAAGUGUUUAAUUCAGUAACUAUUUAUUUACUAAUUAUUAACCAUCUUUCCUUGGGCAGACACACAUGAUCAUGACAUCACAGUGACUAUCAUAGCAAGACCCUUGCCCUCACAUUGCCAGUAACUUCCUACUCAAACUGUGGUCCUUGGACCAGUAGCAUCUGCACCACCUGACAUCUUGUAAGGGCUACGGAAUCUCUGGUACCAUCCUUGACUUCCUGAAUCAGAAUCUGCAGGUCCCUGGGUGACUUGUGCAGAUGACAGUUUGAGAAGCACUGGCCGAGAACUCGGCUCCUUUAUUUCUCCCCUCAUCUGGCUAAUUCUUUGUUUCCUUUUCCAAGAACACCUGCUCGGACACUCUCAUCAGCCCCACCCCAUCUCGAGGUUAGGGAUUAGGCGUUGCCAUGGCAUUGCUAGUGCUCCUAGAGAAUGAAAGGGGAAAAGUACUCACAGUCCAGCAGGGGAGAGGCACACUCUGUGUUAUCAGAGAAAGCAGCAUAUGCAGGGCCAUGGGCUAUAAUUAAUGUUAAUAUGAACCAGGGGUGACGGGCAGGGAGGGGCCAGCAGGAUGGAAGACUGCGGGAAUUAAAGGAGAGUCUCCUUAGGCUGGACACGCUGGGCCCUGAGUCACACAGAGAAACCCAGGUUGCAAAGCAGUGACCCAAGAUGCUGCUGUGGCCCGAUGGGUGAAGGGCUUGCUCUGGACUCCCCUCCUGAAAGCUGGCCGGGCCACCUGCCCACCGCACUGUCCUUCUAUGGCUGGUUUACAGGGCAGCUGGGACUGAGGGCCUCGUGCAGAGUGAGCUUGUGAUUUAAAUUCUCUAGUUUGGUUUUCUGUGCGUACGAAUCACAAAGGAUCUCGCUAAAAUACGGAUUCUGAUUCAGUGUGUCUAACGAGGCAGGUGCUGCUGUCGCAGGGACCACGCUCAGAGAUCCUAAAGUUCUCUUUAAUGAAAACAGAAUGAAGCACAGCAUUCGGGUAAAGCAGUUUAGAGUCUUGCUACUCAGACCUUCUUACUGAUUCUGUGAACUGAGACAGAAAGCAAUUGUCUGCCUAACUUUGCAGUUUUCCCAUUUUGAGCCCAAUAGACUCAGCCAUAAAUUCCUGAAUUUUGUCUCAGAAAGCUAAAGGACAAAUAGGGAACUUGACUGUGGAGUAGCCAGCCCCCUGGCAUCUCAGCAACUCAGGCAAGGCUGAUCCAAAGGUACCUGCACCUCACUCCUCCAAAGCCCUCCCCUCCACUGUCAUCCUUGAGGAUUUUGGUCCUGGAGGCUCCUAAUAAGGCAAUUUGAAGCAUGGACGGGUAUCACCUAGGGAGUUUGAAUAACACUUUAUAAGGAACUCCUGGGACCAGCCAUUGUGUGGGUGGGCUGUUCCUGGACGGGCCCAGGCUCAUCCACCGCUUUUAAAAACCACGAGGGAGCCUGGCAGAUGCUUUGGGGCCAAGCAGAGGCACUAAAGUAGACAUCCCCCACCUCAGAACCGCCCUCCUUGUCACUGUGGCUGUUGGUUUUGAUCUGUCUCCAAACUUUUUUGAAGAAGAAAAGCAAUUCGACCCCUUGAAAAACUAGUUUAGCCUUUACCCUUUGUUUUAGAAAUCAGAAACCAGGCAUUUCUUCCAGUUUCAAUAUCAUACCUAAAAGCCCCUGUAUUUCUUCCAGGAUCCACAGCGUUCGAACCCCUGUCCUUUAAAGGGAUGCCUAUUUAGAGGGAAAAGAGGCUGCUUCUUUCCAGUCUUUCUUCACUUGGGUAGAAUUUUUACUAAGAAAUCCAAAUUGUGGUUUGGAACUCAGAGGUUUCUCAAAUAAAACAAGAGAAGACCCCUGUCGGCAGCUAUAUUUGCUGGGCAUUCACACAAGUGUUCUCUAAAACUGAAAGUCAUCUGUCCGUUCCAAUGCAAUUAAACCUGAGAUUUGAAGGAAAGCUACGAAAUAAUAAAAAGCUUAGCCAUAGUAAAUAUUUUAAUGGGACAUGUAUUUUUAAGAGUAACUGGUUUCUAGUCAAGGGAGGAGCAGGGGUAUGAUCGCAGGGGCAACAGCCGUGGUCACAAAAAGGAAAGUUGCUUUUAAUCAGAAUGCCUGCAAUCUAGUGGACCCAAUGUCCCCCCCCUACAAAGUAAACAAUCUCCAAAGAUUCUGUUCAGCCAUGAAAGGUUUAAAGGGAAAUGGGGGUAUAAUCUCAGUUACUCGUUGAGGUAGGCGGUCAGAGUUGUCGCCAUUCCCCAAAGCCGGCGGGCUUGUCCUCAUCAACUGCUUGAGCCUGCUCUUCUCAGACUCAGGGAGGCCUGCAGACAUCAGCUUUUCUAUAAACAAGAGGUGGGGGUGGUGGGGCCCAGGGUCCUGCUCAGUAUCAGGACCAGCGAAAGAGAACCCGGAGGUUCUGAUCCCUCUUGUCCUUACUCCUUCUUCCAAACUGCAUAAGUCAUUCCUUCUCCACAGGGAGGAGUGAGUGGGGGGUGGGCAGGAGGAAGACUGUCUCUGAGCACUAUGCCCGUCGAAGACCCCUCCUGGCAAUGCGAGGUUUCCCACUGUGCUGGGAAUGUGACUUUUGCCCCUCCACCACCCUGCUUUGUGCCCAGAGAGGCUGAACUCUCUGGACAUAAAUAACUGGGCUUCCUUUGACAUAGGAAAAAAUGGGGCACAAGAGGAAGGCCGUGUCCCAGGUCUUGGGGGAGUCCCUGGGAUGCGCCCCACCAAGUGAUGGUCCUUGGCUUCCCUCAGGAAAGAAUUCGAGGGCAAGCCAUAGCUGAGUAAAAGGAGAUUUACUCAGAGGAGAUGCACGCUCCAUAGACAGAGUGCGGGCCGUCUCAGAAGGCCGGAGAGAGCGACCACGAGGUGUGGGGUUGUUAGUUUUUCAUGGGCUUGGUCAUUUCAUAUGCUAAUAAGUAGGAGGAUUAUUCCAACUACUUUGGGGAAGGGGUGAGGAUUCCCAGGAAUUGGGCCACUGCCUUCUCUCUGACCUUUCAUAGUCAGCCUGGGAACUGUCGUGGCGCCUGUGGGAGGGCCACUUCGCAGCUAAUGUAUUAUAAUGAGUGAAUAAUGAAGCUCAAGGUCUACUGGGAGUCAAAUCUCCCGCCAUAUUGGGCCUCAAGGUCUAUUGGGUGUUGAACUCUCUGCCAUCUUGGUGCUAACUGUUGUGUCAUUCCUUAAACGGUCGUGCCCUGCCCCCUUCCUUCCUGUCUCACCUUACCCUCUGGCUCCCACUGGGUUGCAGGAUAAAGAGGUCAGGGUAUGUGUGUUCCUCUAGCUCCUUCAUUGCCAAGUCCCCUUUUAGACAUGGUUCUCUGCCUAAGGCCACAGCCAAGGGCAGAACUGGUUUUGCAGCGUAGAAGUUGUGAAUGAGAAAUAUUGCCACCGUAUCAGGAAACAAAGGACAUUGCAGACAGCAGUCACCAGCCACUACCGCAGCCCCCAACGGUGAGUUGGGGAGAACUCAGGACGGAGACAAGCAGGCCGCCUGCUGCCAAGCACUCGGCCACUGCAGCCACUCCCAACGGCGGCCCCAGAGGGGACUCGGGAUGGGAAAGAACAGGACACCGGCCCCAGAGAGCUGAGGUGCACAUCAAAGGGACGAUUUCAGUGAGCCCAGAGCUCUUCCAUCUUCCCUUCCACAGAAGAGCACUAAAUUCCUUAACCUGAGACAUCUCGUUUUGUUUAAUUAGCAGUAACCUUUCGAUGUUCCAACUACCUGGUCUUUGUUGCAAAAACUCCUGUAGAUCCCGCUCCCCCCUUCCCCCUUCGGAGCAGUCCCUCGGAGCUGCCUGAGAGGCCGCCUCUCCGGCUUGAAGUCCUCAGAAAACCUGCUGAAUAAAACAUAAUUCUCCACGAGUGGCCUGGCUGAUGUAAAGGACAGCCCACCGUCACCUCUCUCAGAGAGCCCCAGUCCUCUUCCCCGCCCCCCACCUCCUCUGGUCCCAGAGGAGGAACUCAGGAAGCAUGCUCCAGACACGAGGUCUGCAUCGCCCCCCACUACGGAGUUCUAAUUCAUGGGGGUUCAGGUGAGCUAACCAGGGACCCAGGGCCAUGCAGCCGAGUAUCCUCUUGAAGGUUUUCAUUUCAAACCUCUGUGCCUUGUCAACUGGAUGAGUCAGUCUCAUGACCUGGGCUCAUUAGUGAGACGGCAUUAGUGAGACGGCAUUUGUGCCCGCACGGAACUGACUCGGAGGCAAUCACACCUCCCUUUUCGUUCUCCCACUGUGGCGGGUUUCUUCCCAGCUCCGGUACCAAGAGCUGUAAGACUUUUACCAAGUCCCUCCCUCGUUCUUGCUCUGCCACGAGUCCUCUGUGACAUGAGGGGUGGGAUACAUUUGUCUCCGAGAUCCUCGACACAGUUUAACUUUUUUUCUGGCCUAUUUUUGCAUUUCGUCAUUCCAUUAGCUUGUAUUUUCCAAAUGUGGCUCCAGAGCAUGAUCUGGGGUCCAUUUGUCAACUCUCUUGGUAUCGUGUUUGAGUUCUUGUUUAAAUUUACAGGGAAAAGUGAAUUUGGAAGCACUCAGGUAUUUCAUAAUUAUUAUUCUUAGAGCACGAAAAGCAAUGUUAAAUAAAACCACUCUUCGCGUCAGUCAUUCUGAUGGCUCACUAGACAUUUCCAGCACGUUACAUUAAAAGUGGUUGUUACUUUUCACUUUUCUUCCCUAUCCAGGCCUAGACGCACACUGUGAAUCUCCGGCCACACGAGGACUGAGCACUGAGCCACGGCCUGGACCAGGCGUGAUGGGCAGUGGGCAGAGGGCCUCUGCAGGAGGGGCCGAGGCUGCUGACAAAUUGUGAUGGCAGAAGCUGGUGAUUCAUUUAGUCAUUCAACAAACAGUUUUCCUCCAAUGUUUCCCCAAAGAUGAUUCCUUUGCUAUCAUUUUUUUUUUUUUUUGAGAGUCCUUAGGGGCAGAUACUGAUGUACACACCUGUGCAAGGCUCAAGAGAAGGCAGUGUGAGAAUGCACCGCCAGGGAAGCUGCAGAAAGGGGACCGGCCAAAGGACAUGGAGAAAGAGAAGCCACCUCUUCAUAUCUCUGUUUGAGUGGAGGGAUGUGGAAACAGUUUUCCUCAGAAAUGAGCAGGAAGGGCUGAGAUGUUUCCAAGGAUGGGCACAAAUUUUAACAAAGGGUAGUUUGUAGAGAACAUUCCAGGCCGAAGGAACAGCACGGAAAAUGCCCCGUGGUGGGAAAGUGAUUAUAUGUUUGACAAACAGGCUCUGUAGGGUGGAUUUAUUCUGUCAACAAGGACUUUCUGUGGCUCAACGUUGUCUUAAGCACGUGUGUUUAUUUCCAGAUCUUCGCGACGGAUCAUUUGAGAUGAGAAUGCCUGAUGCAAUAAAGACACUGAUGCUGAAGUCUGCCUCACACUAGCGGCCGGCUCGGCUGCCGGGAAGCAAUGGAAAUCCUCUCCGGAGUCGUCCAGCACUCGAUGCAGCUUCACUGCCAUGUGGCUGGACAGAUGGUGCCCCUGUGAGCCACGGACUCCAGAGCACGUGUGAGCAUGAGGAGAAAGAGGAGUUUGAGAAAGUGGGCUCGGUACACGAACGCCAUUAUUUUAAUUUUAUGGGUCACAAUCUGCAUCGGGUGAAAGAUGGAGGAAUUAAGAAUUCACCUUAACAAGAACCUGCAUGUCCUGUAAGUCUGUCUGAAAGCCCUUUUUAUUUACCCGAGUCCCAAUCUUCUAAAGACAGUGAAUCCCAGGGAAAUUCCUCUGUGAGCUGGGCAGGGCAACAACUGCGAAGUUGGAAAUGGGAGCCAAUGGGACACAAACUGCUUUACAUAGAAAGGGCUCUGGUGAGACCCAGGGAAGGUGGGAGGAUUGGAGGAGGGGAGGCGGGGAGGGCUUGAUGUGAAGGAAGAGAGAGGGUGGCUGAUAUUGGGAGAGAAUUUGAAGAGAAGGAAGAGAAAGACUUAAAAAGGUGUUUGUGUGAAGACCGUCUUGUUACUUAGACUGUAAACAUCUUUCCUCUUUGAAACAAAAACAUCUGGUAAAACAUCAGUUCUUUCUCAAGCAGUCUGGAGUUGAGGUAGUCCCUGCAAGGCAAUGAAGUACUGAGUUUUGCUUUAAAGAAGCAGUAAGGCCAAAAGAGGCUUCUCAUAAGGACAAGAAAUUAUUUUUCACCCUCCCAUCAUGGGCUGAAUUACCAGCUGGUCUCAGUUGGGAUAAAGAAUCAUCCUGGAUAAAGAAGCUCUGGUAUAUUUAUACAACGGAAUACUCCUCAGCCAUAAAAAGAAUAAAAUAACGCCAUUUGCAGCAACAUGGAUGAACCUGGAGAUCAUCAUUCUAAGUGAAAGCACAGGAAACUGUAUUCUCCAUCUUGCAGUAAUCUAUACUGAAAAGGCACAUAUGUAUGUAUAACUGGAACUGUGUGCUUUAUGACAGAAGUCGACGCAACAUUGUAAACUGACUAUACCUCAAUUAAAAAAAAAAUCAUCCUGGAUUCUAAACUAAAGAAGUCUCAGACUCAGGUAAGAUGUGCUGGCGGGGCUGCCUGUGCUUCUGCAGACGCACGGAUCAGAUUCAGUGACCUUUCACGCGUGACUGGUGCCUGGAGUGAACAACAAGGAAAACUGUCACUCCACCCUCUUCCUCACCACCCUCGUCAGGACAUCCAGGCGAAUGCAAGCAACACCCGCCCCCAGUUCCUCCCGCAGAACGUUACAUUUGCAGUUAGUUUGGUUUUCAUUAAAAAUUAAU